rnacentral:rRNA from 1 species
UGGGGAAUCUUCCGCAAUGGACGAAAGUCUGACGGAGCAACGCCGCGUGAGUUAAGACGGCCUUCGGGUUGUAAAGCUCUGUGAUCCGGGACGAAAGAGCCUGAGGUAAAUAGCCUAAGGAAGUGACGGUACCGGAAAAGCAAGCCACGGCUAACUACGUGCCAGCAGCCGCGGUAAUACGUAGGUGGCAAGCGUUGUCCGGAAUUAUUGGGCGUAAAGCGCGCGCAGGCGGCUUACUAAGUCCAUCUUAAAAGUGCGGGGCUUAACCACGUGAUGGGAUGGCAACUGGAAAGGUGGAGUAUAGGAGAGGAAAGAGGAAUUCCUAGUGUAGCGGAGAAAUGCGUAGAGAUUAGGAAGAACACCGGUGGAGAAGGCGACUUUCUGGACGAAAACUGACGCUGAGGCGCGAAAGCGUGGGGAACAAACAGG